UACGUAGGGGGCGAGCGUUGUCCGGAUUCAUUGGGCGUAAAGCGCGCGCAGGCGGUGGCGUGAGCCCGGCGUGAAAGCCCCCAGCUCAACUGGGGGAGGCCGUCGGAGACCGCGGCACUUGAGGCCGGUAGGGGAGAGCGGAAUUCCCGGUGUAGUGGUGGAAUGCGUAGAUAUCGGGAGGAACACCAGUGGCAGAGGCGGCUCUCUGGACCGGUUCUGACGCUCAGGCGCGAAGCGUGGGGAGCGAGUCCGG
rnacentral:rRNA from 1 species